UACGUAGGGAGCAAGCGUUGUCCGGAAUCAUUGGGCGUAAAGCGCGCGUAGGUGGCUUCAUAAGUCCGCUGUGAAAGUCAAAGGCUCAACCUUUGAAAGCCGGUGGAUACUGUGAAGCUAGAGUACGGAAGAGGCGAGUGGAAUUCCUGGUGUAGCGGUGGAAUGCGCAGAUAUCAGGAAGAACACCCGUGGCGAAGGCGGCUCUCUGGGACGGUACUGACGCUGAGACGCGAAAGCGUGGGGAGCGAACAGG
rnacentral:rRNA from 1 species